GACGAACGCUGGCGGCGUGCUUAACACAUGCAAGUCGAACGGAAAGGCCCUGCUUUUUUGGGGUUCUCGAGUGGCGAACGGGUGAGUAACACGUGAGUAACCUGCCCUUGACUUUGGGAUAACUUCAGGAAACUGGGGUUAAUACCGGAUAGGAGCUCCUGUUGCAUGGAGGGGGGUGGAAAGUUUCGGCGGUUGGGGAUGGACUCGCGGCUUAUCAGCUUGUUGGUGGGGUAGUGGCUUACCAAGGCUUUGACGGGUCGCCGGCCUGAGAGGGUGACCGGCCACCUUAGGACUGAGAUACGGACCAGACUCCUACGUGAGGCAGCAGUGGGGAAUAUUGCACAAUGGGCGGAAGCCUGAUGCAGCAACGCCGCGUGCGGGAUGACGGCCUUCGGGUUGUAAACCGCUUUCGCCUGUGACGAAGCGUGACUGACGGUAAUGGGUAAAGAAGCACCGGCUAACUACGUG
rnacentral:rRNA from 1 species